AACGAACGCUUGCGUCAUGCCUAACACAUGCAAGUCGAACGAGACCUUCGGGUCUAGUGGCGCACGGGUGCGUAACGCGUGGGAACCUGCCCUUAGGUUCGGAAUAACUCCCCGAAAGGGGUGCUAAUACCGGAUAAUGUCUUCGGACCAAAGAUUUAUCGCCUUUGGAUGGGCCCGCGUUGGAUUAGCUAGUUGGUAGGGUAAAAGCCUACCAAGGCGACGAUCCAUAGCUGGUCUGAGAGGAUGAUCAGCCACACUGGGACUGAGACACGGCCCAGACUCCUACGGGAGGCAGCAGUGGGGAAUAUUGGACAAUGGGCGAAAGCCUGAUCCAGCAAUGCCGCGUGAGUGAUGAAGGCCUUAGGGUUGUAAAGCUCUUUUACCCGGGAUGAUAAUGACAGUACCGGGAGAAUAAGCUCCGGCUAACUCCGUG
rnacentral:rRNA from 1 species